rnacentral:rRNA from 1 species
CUGGCGGCGCGCUACACAUGCAAGUCGAACGAGCGAGAGAGAGCUUGCUUUCUCAAGCGAGUGGCGAACGGGUGAGUAACGCGUGAGGAACCUGCCUCAAAGAGGGGGACAACAGUUGGAAACGACUGCUAAUACCGCAUAAGCCCACGACCCGGCAUCGGGUAGAGGGAAAAGGAGCAAUCCGCUUUGAGAUGGCCUCGCGUCCGAUUAGCUGGUUGGUGAGGUAACGGCCCACCAAGGCGACGAUCGGUAGCCGGACUGAGAGGUUGAACGGCCACAUUGGGACUGAGACACGGCCCAGACUCCUACGGGAGGCAGCAGUGGGGAAUAUUGCACAAUGGGGGAAACCCUGAUGCAGCGACGCCGCGUGGAGGAAGAAGGUCUUCGGAUUGUAAACUCCUGUUGUUGAGGAAGAUAAUGACGGUACUCAACAAGGAAGUGACGGCUAACUACGUGCCAGCAGCCGCGGUAAAACGUAGGUCACAAGCGUUGUCCGGAAUUACUGGGUGUAAAGGGAGCGCAGGCGGGAAGGCAAGUUGGAAGUGAAAUCCAUGGGCUCAACCCAUGAACUGCUUUCAAAACUGUUUUUCUUGAGUAGUGCAGAGGUAGGCGGAAUUCCCGGUGUAGCGGUGGAAUGCGUAGAUAUCGGGAGGAACACCAGUGGCGAAGGCGGCCUACUGGGCACCAACUGACGCUGAGGCUCGAAAGUGUGGGU